GGGUGCGUAACGCGUAUAGAACCUACCUUUUACAGAGGAAUAGCCUUUAGAAAUGAAGAUUAAUGCCUCAUAGUAUUGUAGACUGGCAUCAGUUUAUAAUUAAAGAUUUAUCGGUAAAAGAUGGCUAUGCGUCCUAUUAGUUAGUUGGUAAGGUAACGGCUUACCAAGACAGCGAUAGGUAGGGGUCCUGAGAGGGAGAUCCCCCACACUGGUACUGAGACACGGACCAGACUCCUACGGGAGGCAGCAGUGAGGAAUAUUGGACAAUGGAGGAGACUCUGAUCCAGCCAUGCCGCGUGUAGGAAGAAUGCCCUAUGGGUUGUAAACUACUUUUAUACAGGAAGAAACACUGGUAUGUAUA
rnacentral:rRNA from 1 species